rfam:Gossypium hirsutum cultivar TM-1 chromosome 23, whole genome shotgun sequence
AACCCAUGUUGAGGGCACCUUCUCAAUAAAUCCUUAUACCUCUCCCAUGCAUCGUAUAAGGUCUCUAAGUCCAUUGCACAAAGGAAGAGUUAUCAUUCCUCAACUU